GACGAACGCUGGCGGCGUGCUUAACACAUGCAAGUCGAACGGAAAGGCCCUGCUUUUGUGGGGUGCUCGAGUGGCGAACGGGUGAGUAACACGUGAGUAACCUGCCCUUGACUUUGGGAUAACUUCAGGAAACUGGGGCUAAUACCGGAUAGGAGCUCCUGCUGCAUGGUGGGGGUUGGAAAGUUUCGGCGGUUGGGGAUGGACUCGCGGCUUAUCAGCUUGUUGGUGGGGUAGUGGCUUACCAAGGCUUUGACGGGUAGCCGGCCUGAGAGGGUGACCGGCCACAUUGGGACUGAGAUACGGCCCAGACUCCUACGGGAGGCAGCAGUGGCGAAUAUUGCACAAUGGGCGGAAGCCUGAUGCAGAAACGCCGCGUGCGGGAUGACGGCCUUCGGGUUGUAAACCGCUUUCGCCUGUGACGAAGCGUGAGUGACGGUAAUGGGUAAAGAAGCACCGGCUAACUACGUG
rnacentral:rRNA from 1 species